UUGGAAGCAAAUCAGCAGCCAGUAGGCUUGGUCUUUAUUGAAGAAAAGACUGUUGCAACAGGGUGUUCCCCUCACUUGCAGGAGAGAGGAAAGACCCAGAAAGAUGGUGUGCAAGACCUUAUAAAAACUUUUGAAAUUCCCCUCCUCUAGGUCAAGCCCACCCCCAGAAACAUCAUGCAUACAUUACAGAAAGGAGGGGUUGACAUCAUGCAUACAUUACAGAAAGGAGGGGUUGACAUCAUGCAUACAUUACAGAAAGGAGGGGUUGAGGGAGGAGUUGUGGUGGUAACCUGAGUGUCCUGUCACCUGGCUGGUUCCUCCUUUCCCCGGCCCAUGAGUCACUUCCAGGAGACAAAGGGGAGUUGGCAGUUUCCUGCCCCCAGAGGGAAGAUCUGAUCAUUGUCCUUUGUUUCAGUCCAUGCUGAAUCCACUCCCAUAUGCAAGUUCUUUGUGAUCUUGAUGGUCUUCUGUCUAGGACCAUCAGGGUUGGCAUAGCAACUGGGCAGGGCUCCUGUGGAUGUGCUGGGAUGGUGAAGGGAUUAUGGCUGACCAGAACCAAGCCACCCCCCUUUGAUAGUCCUUGUCAUAUGGAGUAAAAUUAAAAUGGAACAGUGCAAAUCCAAUGUAUGGUUGAUUUUUCUAUGAAUUUAUAACAGAAGUGUGGCAUAUGUAGUGUGUGAGUGUGAGUGUGUGAAGUUUGUACAAACUGAAUGAUUGGGGUGGGGGGUUCCUGCUACAGUUCCCCCCUUCGGAGAUAAGAUUGCAAAGGUGGCUACUUUGCAAUCCUUUUCUCCGCACAAUUUAAGGUGGUAAAUAUUAACCUGCUAUUCUCCGUCCCAGAUGCGUGUGUCCAUGUGAACCUGAAAGGGACUUGGAUGUCACGCUUCUUAAGGAUAUUUGCAUAGAAAUAUAACAGUGUAACAGUGCACAUAGUUAGACAUAGGCUAUCACGUAAAAUUAAUAUUUUG